rnacentral:rRNA from 1 species
AUUGAACGCUGGCGGCAUGCCUUACACAUGCAAGUCGAACGGUAACAGGUCUUCGGAUGCUGACGAGUGGCGAACGGGUGAGUAAUACAUCGGAACGUGCCUAGUAGUGGGGGAUAACUACUCGAAAGAGUGGCUAAUACCGCAUAAGAUCUACGGAUGAAAGCAGGGGAUCGCAAGACCUUGUGCUACUAGAGCGGCCGAUGGCAGAUUAGGUAGUUGGUGGGAUAAAAGCUUACCAAGCCGACGAUCUGUAGCUGGUCUGAGAGGACGAUCAGCCACACUGGACUGAGACACGGCCCAGACUCCUACGGGAGGCAGCAGUGGGGAAUUUUGGACAAUGGGCGAAAGCCUGAUCCAGCAAUGCCGCGUGCAGGAUGAAGGCCUUCGGGUUGUAAACUGCUUUUGUACGGAACGAAAAGCCCCGGGUUAAUACCCUGGGGUCAUGACGGUACCGUAAGAAUAAGCACCGGCUAACUACGUGCCAGCAGCCGCCGUAA